rnacentral:misc_RNA from 1 species
GCAUGACCCCAAACGGCGCCAUCUAGUUCGACCUCGACCGACAGCGUAGGAUUGCCGCGCGAGUCUAGAAUCUCGAGCGCGCGGAUCGUCGAUAUUUUCAUAGCAAGGAUAUCUUCAUAACGAGCUGAAGACCUCCGCUACAGACUUCGGCGGCGAGAGGAUCAAAUCGCGAGCGAAGCCUCGCACCUUCUCCCGUAAUAGCGGCUCGCGAAGGUACUCGGCGGGAGACUUGCCGUCGACUCGGGCGAGCAGCAGCCAGCCCAGGUGCUGCAAGGUCGCCGUCUCCAUCCAGGAGGAGUCGGGGAUUCCCGACACAAAUUCCCGCCAGAACCCGGCCGCCGCUUCCGUGUACAAUCGGGCCCAUUGCGGGCGAUAGAACGAUUUCAGAAGGAGAUGAUUCAGCAGGAAUGCGGAAUCGAAAGAUGGAUCGCCGAAAUGAAUGACUUCAAAAUCGAUGGCCAUGACCUGGUCUCCGUCGACGAGGAAGUUCUUUGGGCUCCAAUCUCCGUGAGUCAAGCUGACGGGGCGGCGGGCCGAUUCAUCCAUGAGCCGCGCCGCGUGAGGCGAGAGGUCCGGGUGCUUACGUGCGGUGGCACGAUAGUACGGGUCGAUGCGAAGUUGGUCGAAGAUGGUCUGGUCUCCGAAUUCUUUCUCCCAAGCCGGAUUUCUCCACGAGAUACUCACCAUCCGCGCCAAAAGGGCUCCUACCCGCCGCGACGUCUCGACACUGAUCUCACCAUUCAGUAGUAAGUCUUUCCAGCAAGCCGACCGAGUGGAAGCGGCGCUCAUCGCGAAUGCGAAAUUGUCGCGGUCCUCGAACAACACUCGCGGGAGAGAACCUUCGGGCAAGAGGCCAGCCAGAGUUCGCAGGGCCGCUGACUCGCGGAAGAUCCGUUCCCUCCCGGCAAGCCACUCCUCUUCGACG